UACGGGGGGGGUAAGCGUUGUUCGGAAUCACUGGGCUUAAAGGGUGCGUAGGCGGGCUGCCAAGUUUGAGGUGAAAUCCUCCGGCUCAACCGGGGAAGUGCCUUGAAUACUGGCGGUCUGGAGGGAGGUAGGGGCGUGCGGAACUAACGGUGGAGCGGUGAAAUGCGUUGAUAUCGUUAGGAACUCCGGUGGCGAAGGCGGCACGCUAGACCUCUUCUGACGCUGAGGCACGAAAGCCAGGGGAGCGAACGGG
rnacentral:rRNA from 1 species